rnacentral:lncRNA from 1 species
UCAGCGAAUUUAUAAGAAUGUAGCAACUGCUAGCAUCAGUGAUGUGCCGUUCUCGGGAAUGUUCCCAAAGUGGGAAUGUUUCCGUUGCAAAAACUUUUUAGUAGUAAAAUAAUGGCUGUUUUUCUUUUUCAAAUUGUUCUUUUUUGUGCUCUAUAAUGUUAUCUGCGUAAAGGUUAGGUAAUAAAGCUCUUUUUAUCAUAAAUUUUCCGUCUUUUACUGCUGGGUACAUUCCCUAAGUGGGAAAAUUCUCGGGAACGACACAUCACUGGUAAGCACAAUACGUCAUUCUAGCAAAUUUUGCAAAAAUCGUGCAUUUUGUGUAUUUUGCAUUUUAUUUGCAAUCUACACUUUAAUACCUUCAAGGUGCGUCAUUCAUUUUUAAAACUCGAAGAGGUUAGACACGACACGAGUGCAUCUACUUGAUCAACAUGACGACGUCAUCUGAAGACAUAACGUACAUGUUCGAACAACAUGCGCAAGACCCGCUGGCAAACUUUGAUGAAGAUUAUCCAGAGUUGGCCAGACUCCACCGCGAACCAAAGAAGAGGAAGCCUGCCAAGCGAAAUGUUAGCGUGCAGUGCGUCUCAAAAAAAUACGUCAUAAGGACACAUCAUCCUUCGUGCUACAAAACCACCACACCCCGGGCACUCGACUAAUUAGAGUCCAAGUUGUCGAUCUAGAGAACAGUCCCCAAGUUACUCAUGACAACGGGGACCCUGAGGAAAACAUUUUAAUGAGCGCCCAGUACGUGGUACAUAAGGAUUCCUAUGAUGAAGUGUUAACGCAGACAGAAGCACUUAUCGCAAACAUAUCAAAAAAGUUGUGUAAUUAUCAUUUCUAGUGCAAUAAAUAUUUUAUAUUUA